rnacentral:tRNA from 1 species
UAGCUCAGCGGCAGAGUAUGUGCUUAGCAUGCAUGAGGUCCUGGGUUCAAUCCCCAG